rnacentral:misc_RNA from 1 species
GUGAAUCAUCAAAUUUUUGAACGCAAAUUGCACUCUCCUCGGAGAGUAUGCCUGUUUGAGGGUCAGCCUAUAAAAAAUCGACGUCGUUGCUGUUUCGCGGUGACAUUCGUCGGAAAUUGGGUCAUCUUAAAUCUUUGGGUUUAUUCAGCGUCAUAUUUUCUUCUUUAUGCCUUCACGAUUUCUUAUAU